GCCUACGGGAGGCAGCAGUAGGGAAUUUUCGUCAAUGGGCGCAAGCCUGAACGAGCAAUGCCGCGUGAACGAGGAAGGUCUUCGGAUCGUAAAGUCCUGUUGAAGGGGAGAAAGAGCGGAGAGAGGAAAUGGUCUCCGAUUGAUAUUACCCUUCGAGGAAGUCACGGCUAACUACGUGCCAGCAGCCGCGGUAAUACGUAGGUGGCGAGCGUUAUCCGGAAUGAUUGGGCGUAAAGGGUGCGUAGGCGGCCUGCUAAGUCUGGAGUGAAAGGUACCGGCUCAACCGGUACAGGCUCUGGAAACUG
rnacentral:rRNA from 1 species